rnacentral:rRNA from 1 species
AUUGAACGCUGGCGGCAGGCCUAACACAUGCAAGUCGAACGAGAGGCGGACGGGUGAGUAAUGUCUGGGGAACUGCCCGAUGGAGGGGGAUAACUACAGGAAACGGUAGCUAAUACCGCGUACUAUAGGAUGUGCCCAGAUGGGAGUAGCUUGUAGGUGGGGUAAUGGCGCACCUAGGCGACGAUCCCUAGCUGGGCUGUGAGGGUGAGCAGCCACACUGGAACGUAGACACGGUCCAGACGCCUACGGGAGGCAGCAGUGGGGAAUAUUGCACAAUGGGCGCAAGCCUGAUGGAGCCAUGCCGCGUGUAUGAAGAAGGCCUUCGGGUUGUAAAGUACUUUCAGCGGGGAGGCGUUACCCGCAGAAGAAGCACCGGCUAACUCCGUGCCAGCAGCCGCGGUAAUAC